CCAGACUCCUACGGGAGGCAGCAGUGGGGGAUAUUGCACAAUGGGGGGAACCCUGAUGCAGCGACGCCGCGUGGGUGAAGGAGUGCUUCGGCAUGUAAAGCCCUAUCGGCAGGGAAGAAGCAAGACGGUACCUGACUAAGAAGCCCCGGCUAACUACGUGCCAGCAGCCGCGGUAAUACGUAGGGGGCAAGCGUUAUCCGGAUUUACUGGGUGUAAAGGGAGCGUAGACGGCUGUGCAAGUCAGAAGUGAAAGCCCGGGGCUCAACCCCGGGACUGCUUUUGAAACUGCGUGGCUGGAGUGCAGGAGAGGUAAGCGGAAUUCCUGGUGUAGCGGUGAAAUGCGUAGAUAUCAGGAGGAACACCAGUGGCGAAGGCGGCUUGCUGGACGAUGACUGACGUUGAGGCUCGAAAGCGUGGGGAGCAAACAGGAUUAGAUACCCCCGUAGCU
rnacentral:rRNA from 1 species